rnacentral:rRNA from 1 species
AGUGAACGCUGGCGGCGGGCCUAACACAUGCAAGUCGAACGGCAGGACAGUAAGAGCUUGCCCUUACGGGUGGCGAGUGGCGGACGAGUGAGGAAUACAUCAGCAACUAAUUUGACGUGGGGGACAACGUGGGGCAACUGAUACUAAUACAGCAUACGAUCAACGGGAGAAAGCAAAGGUGAUAGACGGCCUUGCUGUCACAAAUAGAUGAAUCCGCAUUAGCUUGUUGGGAGGGUAAAGGCACACCAAGGCAACGAUGCAUAGCUGACCUGAGAGGAUGAUCAGCCACACUGGAACUGAGACACGGUCCAGACUCCUACGGGAGGCAGCAGUGGGGAAUAUUGCACAAUGGGCGCAAGCCUGGUCCAGCCAUGCCGCGUGAGUGAAGAAGGCCUUCGGGUUGUAAAACCCUGUUGUUGGGAAAGAACAGCUGCAUGAUAAAACGCCGACAUUCUGACGGUACCCAAAGAAAAAGCAACGGCUAACUACGUG